rnacentral:tRNA from 1 species
UCCCUGGUGGCUCAGAUGGUAAAGAAUCUGCCUGCAAAGCAGGAGACCCAGGUUCAAUCCCUGAAGGGGAA